UGAGUGAAUCCCUCUGCUGAUCUGCUGUCUAAGCAAAUAGGGAUGAUAUUGUCGAUUUGUCUUAUUGCUUGGCCAAUCAAAUUUCGGGAUUUGACAGGCCGGAGACCUUCCAGCUGGCCAACGCAUCUACAUUGGCAUUUUUCGGACCAGUUUGCCAACUGAAGCAAAACUACCUAGCAUCACAUAACCGUAGCAGUUAUGUUAGUUCAAGUUCGUUUAGAUUAUUAGAUGCAAAGUUAGUGAAAGAAGGGAGGAUGUACUUUUUCUUCAAAUGAUGAGCACCUUUGGCUGCAUCAAUACGAUAAUGCGACCAUCAUUAACAAUUUGAAAUCAAAUGAAAUCGCUAUGUCAUCCAAUCUUGCCAUCAGCGAUGCCCACUGCCACCAGUCACGUGACUUUGUCUUCUCACACACGGAGCACUGCAAGAGGGAAAGCCAAGCCCUUCUACCUUCACAUAACAAACUGCAUUAAAAUGCACCUGAUACAGAAUGAAUGAAGGAAUGAGGAAAUGGAGACUGAAAGAAACUCAAGGU